UAGUACAUCUGAACAGAGAUUAGUGUUACAUAGAGUGUUUACGACACUAUUACAGAAUUUGACACUACAUGUUUUUUUCUUAAAGCGACAAUUAAAUCUUUGUAACUGUAGAAGAAUAUUUAUAACUACGAAUGUUAAUAUUACAAAUAAAUUUUGCAUUAUGAAACGAUGUUAGAGCAAAGAUCGCUUCUUAUUGUACAAAGGAUAAUAAAAUGUGAAAAGUCCUGCAAAGUUAAGAAAUUUACGUAAAUCACACGUAGAACAUGACACAUGCAAAAGUUUAACCUAAUCAACUUAUUGUCAUUUUAUUUAAUGAAAAAUUAUUUCUUUUAA